ACUCCAAAGGUUGCGAAGUUAAGCACCCUGGUGCUAGAAGCUGCCAGAAAUCGGACUGUUCACAUGAGUUCAGUUUGAUCUCCUAUUCUGAUUUCUUUUUACAAGAUUCUGCGUAUUUCAGGCCUUAACCUCAUCCAGCGUGCUUGUUAGACAGGGAACAAUGCAAUGGGCCAUGAAGAAAAUACUUUCUCUUGUGAUUAAGGCACAGCAUGGAGAGUUAUGCUCUAGACAGAGUUAUUGAUGGCAUUAAGGAAGGAGAGAUCCCCAAGUGAGCUGUGAAACACAAAACAUAUUUUCUGAAGGUGACCACAUGCUCGACUCUCAGCCAGAUUGUAAGGAAGGCAUUCUGUAGGUCAAGAUCGCAGACCAACAAGAAGCUGAUGAAGAUGACUUAAGUAAAACACAGAGGCCCACGGUGCUCCUCAUGGCAAGAAAUAUGCUCCAAGCGUCUUCUAGCAAGCUAUACACUUUCUUAUCAUGAUCCAAGAAAGCCACCUUGUACUCCAGGAGUAUGGAAUAUGCAAUGAAUGCAUGAUAAAUUGUAGUUAAUGAAAGUAAUCCAGUUUAGUUGGGUUUGAUUUAACUGUCAGUCUGAUCAGUAUUUAUCUUUGUUUGCAGAAGGAGCAGGAGAAAAAAAAAGAUGGAAACAUUUCAGUCUGCUAUGAACUACGUGAAACCAGAUUAAUACGAUAGUGGCAACUGGGAUGGACAUUGCUAAUUAACAACAGCUUAAAAUAGGCAGAGAACAAUGAUACGUAGCAAGACUUCUUCUUACCUGUUUCCAAGUGAAACCAUCCAGAAGCUCAGGCACCAUGAGGCUGACCCUCCAACCAUCUGCACUAACCGCAGGAGUCUGCUGGCUCCUUGUUGUGUGCAGCACAUGGUGACAUUCUUGAAAGAAGAACUUGUGCUUAGCAGCCGCCCUGCAGAAGACUCCAUUUACUGGCUAUGUCUUAAAAUCUUCCUUCCACUGUAGCGCUGAGAGAAAUGGGAAUAUACUUUCCUGCUGGCCUGCUUGCUGCUGAUUUGACAUCGUGCCACGUGGGGGAGGUGUUGGAAAUAGGCAAAUACUGCAGAAUUAAAAAAUAUAUAUUAAAAAAAGAAAUCACUCUGAGUUGAAAGGGAAGAGAGCCAGGAAGGGAAGUACCUUGGGCAGUGAAUUAGGCUACGACUGUAUCAAAGCCAACAGCUCCUUGUUUUAAUAUUUAACACCCAGGAGAGUGGAGGGGAAGGAUGCUGAGAAUGGGUGAGAUUUUUCAAAGGCGCCCAAUUUCCAGUGCUUUUCCCUGCAUGCCUAUCUAGUGAAUAUUUGGUUUGAUGUGAUGUUUGGUCACCCAGGAGAACAUUUACACAUCCAACCUCAAAUUACCAAAAAGCUUGAGCUGGAAAACAUAGUGUGGAGAGAGGUUGGAAGGGGAGGUGACACCAACCCCUAGAGCCAGAAUCCAGCAUUCAUCACUCAUACUUAUCUUACCAGAAGCCAAAGUAAAGCGUUUCACUCUGGGUCAAAGGGAUUGUUCAAGAUGUCUGGAGAAGACAAAAGGGGGAGGUGUUUUAUGAUAUGUUUACCUAAAUAAGGGUUAUAGAGAAGAGUUGUGCAACCAAAGGGCAGCCUGGUCUAGUGGUUGGCCACCCUGCACUCAGCAGGGGGGUUGAAACUCGAUGGUCUUUGAGGUCCUUUUCAACCCAGGUCAUUCUAUGAUUCUAUGAUUCUACGAAAAGAGGAGGCAGUUGGCUCAAGUAGGGGAAAUUCCUUUUGGACAUAAGGAAAAAGUUCUUUCUCGUGAGAGCACUGAAGCACAAGAGGAGGAUCCCAGACUGUGAAGUUUCAGUCCUUGGAGACAAUAAAUACUCAAUGGAGUAAGGACCUGAACAACUAGAUCUAACCCUGAACCUCGACUUGCUUUGAUCAGAGCAUUGAGCUGCAGACCUCCAGAGGUCCCUGCCAGCCCAAAUUACUGUUCAUUCUAUGAAGCUGAGAGAGAGAUUGAAUAAAACAAAGGGAAGAAGUUCCCCAUUUGUUUUCCUCUCUUCAGCACAGCUGGAAGCCCGUGCUCUUGUGCUUUGCCAUGACUUUUGCUUUUAAUAUGUCUGUUUGAUGCAGGUCUUAAUAUCCAUUUCAGAUGCUUUACUUAAUCAUUAAGCUAGUCUGAAGCUGUUUCAGACAGUGACGAUCUCUGCGUUAGUGACAAUGAAAUGAAUUGCACUGCAAGGAGGAGCACUCUUACUGCAUUGUUCUGCAUUGCCAGCACUGAUAGGGGUGUCUUUUGAAGCUAUGGGGACAAGGAAACAAAUAAAAGAAAGGCCAGACGAGGUACAGUGUACCAGGUCUACAAGCUCACCAGAAAAAGUUAGCUGAUGUUCAUUGGGAGGCUUGCAGCUAGCUAGUUGAAUUGGGAUGCUACGUGCACAUGGAUCUGCUCCCUUUGCCCAUCUUGUUGGUAGCAAUGAUGUAUUCUGAGGCCCCAAGACUGGGCAUAGGAGGUCAGGUCCUGUUAUACAACACAACAGCAUGAUAGUCCACCUGUUUCUGGUAAGGACCGAUAUCCAGGUCUUCUUCUCAGUAAGGAACAAUAUAUUUUUUGCCUGUUUUGGUUUCAUUUAGGGGCAGGGAGGUUUAGGGUCUUGAUCUUUCUGCAAAACCUUCAGACGUUUUGUUACUCUUAACUUGUGUGAGGAUUUGACUUGGGAUUUCAGGCAGGAAAAUGAAGCAGUCUAUGGGAUCGGGUCUUAACAGGGUGUUAAGAAUGCUUGCACAUGUGGAUACUGAGGGACUCUGCACCUGAUCCGACUCACUGAGCAUUCCCAGAUAGACACUGGUGCAAGGUUCCAUCCCUGUAAGUAGUGGAGGUUUAGGAAAGGGCCAAGAUGCAGAGUUAAGCGAAGCUCUUGCUGCAGCAGGUCACACUGCACCCACAAAGGCCCUGUUUGAGUGGAUUCAGAAAGCUUUUGUCCCAAAUAUUUACAAUUUGGCUGCUAAAAAGAACUGCUGAGUGUAACUCGGGGCACCUUUUUGCCUGAGGGUCAUGCAGAACAGCACAAGGGAGCUGCUCUUCCUGCCAGGCUGCUCUCUGCCUGCGGAGGGGAUGAAAGGAAACCAGCCACAGACAGCAGAUGCUCAUUAUUUUACUUAGGGCAGCCCACUGCAGGGGGAGGGGGCAGGGGAAGAACCUGUAGCAGACAGACCGGCUGAAAGCUCUGCUGAGGAGCAGCCUUCCUACAGCCAUGGGAAGGGAUGCGAUGUGGAGCAGCCAGGCCUUGGCCAUGUGCUGUGUUGCUGCAGCAAGGUCCAGUCCUCACUUGCUGGCAGUCUCAGCAUCUGCUUUGACUUUGCUGCAGCCAGUGAGAAGAGUGGGGAGAUGGUCCUUUGUCACUUAUUAGAGGAGGAUACAUCUCCUCUGGAGAUGGAACCCUUCAGUGAAUCACUCUGAUCUUGCCCAGCGCUGCUCUUCUGUGGUUUCAAAAGAAACUGUGCAAAAAUAUUUGUUCUUUUAUUUCUAGUCUGUCCCUAUAGGAUUUUAUUGGUGUCUCUCCUCUUAAAUUCAGGGACUUUUUCCUGGCUUAAAGGUAGCUGGUAAUUGACUUACAGCUUCCUCUCUACAGGAAAUUACUGUAUCAUGUUCCCUUUUAUGCUGCUGCGUUGUGGAAACUUUCCUGUGGAUUUCGGGGGAAAAGAGUAAUAAAAAGGUGAGAGCAGAACAGAAAUCUACCUCUGGUUCUGAAUCUGCUGUGGUUCAGAAGGGAUCAAGUUUUGUUCUGAUAAGGAAUGUCAUUAAGAAGAGCUGCAGUGUGUUCAUGGUCCUCACAGCUCAUGUGGGGACCUUCAGUUGGAUCCGCAGAACUGUUCUUCCUUGAAAGGUCACUAAUGCUUUUGAAAAUGGUGGUUGUUUCUCCUGGUCUGUUCCUAGAGCACAUAGAAUCACUAAGGUUGGAAAAGACCACUAAGAUCAUCUAAUCCAACUGUCCACCCAACAUCACCAUGCCCAGAGGAUGGUGAGAGAAAGAGAAGCAUCCUUACAUUCAGUCUCCCCAUCCUUGGAGACACGGAAGGUCAGGCUGGAUGGGGCUCUGAACAACCUGAUUGAGCCACAUAUGUCCCUGUUAAUUACAGGCGGAUUGGACUAGAUGACUUUUAAGGGUCUUCCUUGAUUCUACAUUUCUAUUCCACCUCAGGGUGGAAUUACAGGACCCAAUCUUGGCCACCUGGAGUGCCCAUCUCCUUGUGGAUUGCAUCUCUCUGUGCAUUUACCAGCCACUGAACAAUGAAGAAGAAGAUGCUUCCAAUGCUCAAAAACCAUACUUUCAGUGCAGGAAUCAAACUAACAAACGUACAGGAGCAAGCAGCCAAUGCUAACCAUAUUAGCUAAAAUUACAAGGACUUGCAAGCUUCAGUUGUCAGGGCAAAACUGAUCUCUGGGGAUGGUCAGGAAGGCUGUUUCCCCUGUGGAACAAGACUAUACAAGCAGGUGCAUGAAGCAGGUUUUAUGACUGCAGCGCAGUAACAGCUGGAGGCCCCAGCACGGGAUCGGGUUUCUUGGCUUGGCCCAAGAUUAUACAUUAGCAGAGGGACUGCCAGAGAUGUGCGAUCUGGUUCAGAUCAGAUAAGAACAUCUGCCUCCUCCUGCUGCCCUCAGUGGAUGAUAUGUCAAAACUGGCUCCCAGCGUGACUCUGCUGGAGCCGAGCACCAUUCAACCCACAGGUAAUUUGCUCCAGUAUGUUGCAAAGCAUCAGAGCUGCUGGGGCUUGAUUCCCAUGGCCAAAGCUGCACUCAGUGGAGCUGGAGAAGGAGGCACCUCCAUCAUUCAUUGUGUGAUCCAGCUUCCCCCUUCAUGGCCUCAGCAAAGAUGGGCAGCUUCCACCUGGCUAUUAAAGGCUUUUUCCUUCUGUUUGGUUGUGCACAGAUGGGGACUUGUGGUACAGGGAUGCAAAGGCCACAUGGCCACGUGGUUGUGUCACAUAACUUGAGCAUCUCCAGAUUGGCAGGAAUGCUCGCUUAGAGGCUGUCCCCCUGUUAGCCAGCUCUAUUCUACCUCUUUCUACUAAUAUAUUGAUUGUAAGAAGUCUGAUCCAAUAAAUACUCUUGAUAGGAAUCAGAUUUGGCAGAAAUAAAGCUGUAAGUAGGAAGACUGGUGGCUUGCUUUGCACGAUGCCCAAUGAGAAUAGCUCCUACUCCACAAGCCUCUGUGGGAUAUCAUUAAACAGCAUUUUCGUUUUCAUAGGGCAAGAGGGAAUGGCCUCAAGUUGUGCCAGGGGAGGUUCAGGUUGGAUAUUAGGAACAAUUUAUUCUCCAAAAGAGUGGAGAUGGACUGGCACAGGCUGCCCAGGGAG